rnacentral:siRNA from 1 species
UUAGUAACAAUGGUAAACUA